rnacentral:rRNA from 1 species
AGAGGUCCCGCCUGCCCUGUGACUUGUAUGUUUAACGGCCGCGGUAUUUUGACCGUGCGAAGGUAGCGCAAUCACUUGUCCUUUAAAUGAGGACCCGUAUGAAUGGCAUAACGAGGGCUUAUCUGUCUCCUUUUUCCAGUCAAUGAAAUUGAUCUCCCCGUGCAGAAGCGGGGAUAACCACAUAAGACGAGAAGACCCUGUGGAGCUUUAGACGCCAGGGCAGACCACGUUAAGCACCCCUAAAUACAGGGCUAAACCACAUGACCCCUGCCCCUAUGUCUUCGGUUGGGGCGACCAUGGGGUAAAACAAACCCCCCACGUGGAACGGGAGUACUUUCCUCCUCAAACCCAGAGCCUCCGCUCUAAUUAGCAGAACCUCUGACCUAUAGACCCGGUAAAACCGAUCAACGAACCAAGUUACCCCAGGGAUAACAGCGCAAUCCUCUUUUAGAGCCCAUAUCGACAAGAGGGUUUACGACCUCGAUGUUGGAUCAGGACAUCCUAAUGGUGCAGCCGCUAUUAAGGG